UACGGGGGGAGCAAGCGUUGUUCGGAUUUACUGGGCGUAAAGGGCGCGUAGGCGGUCGUGACAAGUCACUUGUGAAAUCUCCGGGCUUAACUCGGAACGGUCAAGUGAUACUGUCGGACUAGAGUACAGAAGGGGCAAGCGGAAUUCCCAGUGUAGCGGUGAAAUGCGUAGAUAUUGGGAGGAACACCAGUGGCGAAGGCGGCUCACUGGACCGGAACUGACGCUGAGGCGCGAAAGCGUGGGGAGCAAACAGG
rnacentral:rRNA from 1 species